rnacentral:snRNA from 2 species
GCAUUUACCUAAACGAGGUUAAUGAACGAUCAAUAAGGCUCAUGACUUAGGUUAGUGCCUUCUAUUACACUUUGGAGGGGUGCCUGCCUGAAGUUGACCCAAGUGGCUGAACUUAUAACAUAAUGUGUGACAGUGCGGACCUUCAUUGGCGCGGCCCUACC